AAGUUUAUAUCUUUUCAAGCAGGGGUCGCCAACCUUUUGGACCUCAGGGACCACCACACCCAUACUUUUGAACCCUGCAGACCAGAGACGCUGGGAAAAU